ACUGCGAGUGUAGAGGUGAAAUUCGUAGAUAUUCGGAGGAACACCAGUGGCGAAGGCGGCUCACUGGCUCGAUACUGACGCUGAGGUGCGAAAGUGUGGGGAGCAAACAGGAUUAGAUACCCUGGUAGUCCACGCUGUAAACGGUGGGUACUAGGUGUGGGGUCCAUUCCACGGGUUCCGUGCCGUAGCUAACGCUUUAAGUACCCCGCCUGGGGAGUACGGCCGCAAGGCUAAAACUCAAAGGAAUUGACGGGGGCCCGCACAAGCGG
rnacentral:rRNA from 1 species